rnacentral:rRNA from 1 species
UACGUAGGGUGCGAGCGUUAAUCGGAAUUACUGGGCGUAAAGCGUGCGCAGGCGGUUCGUUGUGUCUGAUGUGAAAGCCCCGGGCUCAACCUGGGAAUGGCAUUGGAAACUGGCGAGCUAGAGUGUGGCAGAGGGGGGUGGAAUUCCGCGUGUAGCAGUGAAAUGCGUAGAGAUGCGGAGGAACACCGAUGGCGAAGGCAGCCCCCUGGCUGACACUGACGCUCAGGCACGAAAGCGUGGGGAGCAAACAGG